GAUGGUGAUCGUCACAAUGGUAGUUAAUGUGAUGAUGAUGAUGGUAGUUGUACCAUCAUCAUCAUCACAUUAACUACCAUCAUCACGAUGGUAGU